GCCGUUGUAGCUCAGUUGGUAGAGCACUCGCAUGGUAAGCGAGAGGUCUGCGGUUCAAUCCCGCACAACGGCUCAA
rnacentral:tRNA from 1 species